rnacentral:rRNA from 1 species
AACGAACGCUGGCGGCAUGCCUAACACAUGCAAGUCGAACGAGACCUUCGGGUCUAGUGGCGCACGGGUGCGUAACGCGUGGGAACCUGCCCUUAGGUUCGGAAUAACUCCCCGAAAGGGGUGCUAAUACCGGAUAAUGUCUUCGGACCAAAGAUUUAUCGCCUUUGGAUGGGCCCGCGUUGGAUUAGCUAGUUGGUAGGGUAAAAGCCUACCAAGGCGACGAUCCAUAGCUGGUCUGAGAGGAUGAUCAGCCACACUGGGACUGAGACACGGCCCAGACUCCUACGGGAGGCAGCAGUGGGGAAUAUUGGACAAUGGGCGAAAGCCUGAUCCAGCAAUGCCGCGUGAGUGAUGAAGGCCUUAGGGUUGUAAAGCGCUUUUUCCCGGGAUGAUAAUGACAGUACCGGGAGAAUAAGCUACGGCUAACUCCGUG